UGGGCUGGGGCGGGGUGGAGCAGAGCCGGAAGCGGGAGGGGAGAGUGAAACAGGAAAAGAAGGGAAGAAGGCAGAAGAGGGAAGAGGAGGAGAGGGAGGAGGAGGAGGGAGGUGGCGGCGCCGUGGCGGAGGAGCAGGAGCAGGAGGGGGAUGGAGAGGAGAAGGCUCCUGGGUGGCAUGGCGCUCCUGCUCCUCCAGGCGCUGCCCAGCCCCCUGUCAGCCAGGGCUGAACCCCCGCAGAUUUCAGAUGCAUUCCGUUCCACGCCGCACUUAGGACCAGUUGGCUGCCUUGUGUUCAGAGCCUGGACCUCAUCUGGUGAAUUUUCUCCGAGGCAGAAGUGUCACUGGAUUCUUUCACGUGUUGGGAGUUGUAGGCAGCACAGCCCCUUUUAGAAACUAUGUGGGACACUUUGAACUGUGGUCUUGCGAGCCAGCGCCAGAAGAAUGGCAUUUUGGGGCCUGGUAAACUUGGGAGAAACUUUUUGAUGUCCUUAUGAAAGCAGCAUUUUGCUCUGAAGUCAGGGGCGGGUGUGUUCUAGCAAAAGAAGCGAGCCCAGAUCUGCCUUCUCCACGUGCACCAGGCCUCCGUAGGAGACCUCCGACUGGACACCGCCCCCCCCCCCCGCCCCCCGCCUCCAUCGUGCUUAUGUGGAUGUGGGGAAGAGGCAGAGGUGGGAAGAACUCUGUUG
rnacentral:lncRNA from 1 species